GGGGUCGAUUUUGGUUUCGACUUCGUUAAUUGAGCCAGGGGAAGCGUGCCGGUGCAGGCUGGAGACCACCGUUAAGCGUCGCAGCAAAUUAUAAGCGCAGAGAACACUCAGCGCGACUACGCCCUCGCUGCCUAAUCAGCGACUUGCGUGUCUGUCGGACCAGAUAGGUUCCUGAUCUGGACCCCGGCAUCGACUUAGAGGAACUUGCCUUACCGCUGUGUUGACGGGGCGGUAGGGGACACCAACCGACAACUGGGCUCAUCAUCUGGACAUGUUUGCCUGAUCCGGAGGGCCGAGUAGAGAUCCCGUGCAAACUGCGCACGGAGAAGCCCUGGCGAGGUGACGAAGGACCCGGGUUCGAUUCCCGGCGGCUCCACCG
rnacentral:tmRNA from 1 species